rnacentral:misc_RNA from 1 species
GAGAAUUGAUUUAUAGCCAAUAGCAGUUCAGAUAAAUCGGUUCCAUCACACUUGCAUUAUCUCCAUUAGUGGGAUAGAAAUUAUAUCUCGAUUCAAGACUAGGCAGAAAAUUUUCUAUCAAAACAUAUUUGAGUAAACCAAAGACCAAACCGUAAAAAUUGGGAUCCGUUCCCACUCAAUGGAAUAUAUAUAUAUAGAAUAAAGUUAAUUAGUUU